rnacentral:rRNA from 1 species
CAGUAGCCACGGUAAUACGAAGGGUGCAAGCGUUACUCGGAAUUACUGGGCGUAAAGCGUGCGUAGGUGGUGGUUUAAGUCCGUUGUGAAAGCCCUGGGCUCAACCUGGGAAUUGCAGUGGAUACUGGGUCACUAGAGUGUGGUAGAGGAUAGUGGAAUUUCCGGUGUAGCAGUGAAAUGCGUAGAGAUCGGAAGGAACAUCUGUGGCGAAGGCGACUAUCUGGGCCAACACUGACACUGAGGCACGAAAGCGUGGGGAGCAAACAGGAUUAGAGACCCCCGUAGUCCCUGUCUCUUAUAA